CCGUGGCGCAAUCGGCUAGCGCGUUCGGCUGUUAACCGAAAGGUUGGUGGUUCGAGAGAAUAACAUAUUUUAAGGCCCAUCUGUAUCGU